AAAUAAACAAAUAAGAGCACAUGGUGGAUGUCUUGGCUCUGAGAGGCGAUGAAGGACGUGGUCAGCUGCGAUAAGCUGCAGGUAUUGGCAACACGAUUGUAUCUGCAGAUUUCCGAAUGGGAAAACCUGUUGUUUCACAAAUAUUUGUGAAAUACAACAUCAUUAUGAGGCGAACCCAGGGAACUGAAACAUCUCAGUACCUGGAGGAAAAGAAAAUAAAAAUGAUUCCGUCAGUAGUGGUGAGCGAAAUCGGAACAGCCCAAACCAAUAAAGUUUAGGCUUUAUUGGGGUUAUAGGAAUACAUCUGUUUAAAACAGAUUAAAAUUGUAUAGUAGAAUGAUUUGGAAAAAUCAAUCAUAGAAGGUGAUAAUCCUGUAUAUGAAAUACGAUUUUAAUUGAAUUUAAUAGUAAUCCUAAGUAGAGCGGGACACGUGGAAUCCUGUUUGAAUUAACCGGGACCAUUCCGGUAAGGCUAAAUACUCCUCAGAGACCGAUAGUGAACUAGUACCGUGAGGGAAAGAUGAAAAGUACUUCGAAUAGAAGGGUGAAAUAGAACCUGAAACCAUGUUGCUUACAAUCUGUCGUAGCCCUUUAGUAGGGUGACGUCGUGCCUUUUGCAUAAUGAACCUACGAGUUAAUUUUACUGGCAAGGUUAAACAGUUUAGCUGUGGAGCCGAAGCGAAAGCGAGUCUUAAUAGGGCGCAUAGUCAGUGGAAUUAGACGCGAAACCGAGUGAUCUACCUAUGGGCAGGUUGAAGCUAUGUUAAUCCAUAGUGGAGGACCGUACUGGUGGACGUUGAAAAGUCCUCAGAUGACCUGUGGGUAGGGGUGAAAGGCUAAUCAAACUCGGAGAUAGCUCGUACUCCCCGAAAUGCAUUUGAGUGCAGCAUUAUGUUAAGUAUUAUAGAGGUAGAGCUACUGUUUGGAUGCAGGGAUUUCACCGUCUACUAAUUCCUGACAAACUCCGAAUACUAUAAUAUGUUGCAUAGUAGUGAGGGCAUGGGUGCUAAGGUCCAUGUCCGAGAGGGAAAGAACCUAGACCAACAGCUAAGGCCCCUAAGUAUAUACUAAGUUGACUAAACGAGGUUUAGUUGCCUAGACAGCUAGGAUGUUAGCUUGGAAGCAGCUAUUCAUUUAAAGAGUGCGUAAUAGCUCACUAGUUGAGUGACUGAGCGUGGAUAAUAAUCGGGCAUAAGUAUAUCGCCGAAGCUUUGGGAUCGAAAGAUCGGUAGGGGAGCAUUGUAAAUUACGUUGAAGCUGUGUUGUAAAACACAGUGGAGUUUUUACAAAAGAAAAUGUAGGUAUUAGUAACGAUAAUGCGGUUGAAAAAUCCGCACACCGAAAUAUCAAGGUUUCCUCAGCUAUGUUAAUCAGCUGAGGGUUAGUCGAACCCUAAGGCAAAGUCGAAAGGCGUAGUCGAUGGGAGAGCAGUUAAUAUUCUGCUACUUGCUUAUAUUGCGAUGGGGUGACGAAGUAAUAAAAUUGUCGCGUACGGACGGAAGUGUGCGUUUAAAUAACGGGGUAUAGCAUAUAUAGGAAAAUCCGUAUGUGUUGCUUACGUAUGAAAGUACCAUAAUCUGGAUAGUACAAUAUAAAACUUCCAAGAAAAACCUCUAAGCACUAAAAAAUAUAGGUAAUUCGUACCCAAACCGACACAGGUAAUUAGGGAGAGAAUCCUAAGGUGUUCGAGUGAAUCACGGCUAAGGAACUAGGCAAAAUGGACCUGUAACUUCGGAAAAAGGGUUGCCUCUUAAUCAAGGAGGCCGCAGCGAAAAGAUCCAGGCGACUGUUUAUCAAAAACACAGGACUCUGCUAAAUCGAAAGAUGAUGUAUAGGGUCUGACACCUGCCCGGUGCUGGAAGGUUAAGGAAAGGGGUUAGCUUUUUUAGUGAAGCUCUUGACCGAAGCCCUAGUAAACGGCGGCUGUAACUAUAACAGUCCUAAGGUAGCGAAAUUCCUUGUCGGGUAAGUUCCGACCUGCACGAAUGGUGUAACGAUCUGGAUACUGUCUCGGCCGUGAGCUCGGUGAAAUUGUAAUAUCGGUGAAGAUGCUGAUUACUCGCAAUGGGACGAAAAGACCCUGUGAACCUUUACUAUAACUUUGUAUUGACUUUGGAUAAAUAAUGUGUAGGAUAGGUGGGAGACUUUGAAGCUCUAUCGCUAGGUGGAGUGGAGUCGUUCUUGAAAUACCACCCUUUAUUUUUCUGAAGUCUAACUUUAAAAUUAGGACAGUGCAUGGUGGGUAGUUUGACUGGGGUGGUCGCCUCCAAAAAAGUAACGGAGGCUUUCAAAGGUACCCUCAGCACGCUUGGUAACCGUGCGUAGAGUGUAAUGGCAUAAGGGUGCUUGACUGUGAGACUAACAAGUCAAUCAGGUACGAAAGUAGGACAUAGUGAUCCGGUGGUACUGUAUGGAAUGGCCAUCGCUCAAAGGAUAAAAGGUACUCCAGGGAUAACAGGCUAGUCUUCCCCGAGAGCUCAUAUCGACGGGAAGGUUCGGCACCUCGAUGUCGGCUCGUCACAUCCUGGGGCUGAAGAAGGUCCCAAGGGUUGGGCUGUUCGCCCAUUAAAGUGGCACGCGAGCUGGGUUCAGAACGUUGUGAAACAGUUCGGUUUCUAUCUAUUGCGAGCGUUAGAAGCUUGAGUGGAGCUAACUCUAGUACGAGAGGACCGAGUUGGACUAACCUCUGGUGUAUCAGUUGUGCUGCCAAGUGCAUCGCUGAGCAGCUAUGUUAGGACGAGAUAAGCACUGAAAGCAUAUAAGUGCGAAGCUUACCACAAGAUGAGGCUUCUUUACAAGAGACGUUGGAGAUUACGACGUUGAUAGGCUACAGGUGUAAAGACAGUAAUGUCAUAGCCGAGUAGUACUAAUUUCUCGUAAGUUUCUUCUA
rfam:Candidatus Walczuchella monophlebidarum isolate FNIIJ chromosome, complete genome.